AUACAUUUUUAUGCAAUCUAUGGGAAAUUACUACAAUUAAGCAGCAAGUGAAAUGCCUAAAGAAGAGAAUAGACAAUCAGAGUGGCAUGGCAUAAUUAUGAAUGUA